AUUGAACGCUGGCGGCAGGCUUAACACAUGCAAGUCGAGCGGGGUGAUGGUGCUUGCACUAUCACUUAGCGGCGGACGGGUGAGUAAUGCCUAGGAAUCUGCCUAGUAGUGGGGGACAACGUUUCGAAAGGAACGCUAAUACCGCAUACGUCCUACGGGAGAACGUGGGGGAUCUUCGGACCUCACGCUAUUAGAUGAGCCUAGGUCGGACUAGCUAGUUGGCAGGGUAAAGGCCUACCAAGGCGACGAUCGGUAACUGGUCGGAGAGGAUGAUCCGCAACACUGGGACUGAGACACGGCUCAGACUCCUACGGGAGGCAGCAGUGGGGAAUAUUGGACCAUGGGGGGGACCCUGAUCCAGCCAUGCCGCGUGUGUGAAGAAGGCCUUAUGGUUGUAAAGCACUUUAAGCGAGGAGGAGGCUCUUUUGGUUAAUACCCAAGAUGAGUGGACGUUACUCGCAGAAUAAGCACCGGCUAACUCUGUGCCAGCAGCCGCGGUAA
rnacentral:rRNA from 1 species